rnacentral:sRNA from 1 species
GCCAGCUGCAGUGGCGCACACCUGUAAUCCCAGUGACUCAGGAGGCUGAGGCAGGAGACUUGCAAGUUGGAAGCCAGCCUUAGCAAUUUAGUGAGGCCCUAAGCAUCUUAGUGAGACCCUGUCUCAA